UACGUAGGUGGCAAGCGUUGUCCGGGUUUACUGGGCGUAAAGCGCGUGUAGGCGGCUAUGCAAGUCGGAUGUGAAAGCCCUCGGCUCAACCGGGGAAGUGCACCCGAAACUGCAAAGCUAGAGUCUCGGAGAGGAUCGUGGAAUUCUCGGUGUAGAGGUGAAAUGCGUAGAGAUCCGGAAGAACACCGGAGGCGAAGGCGGCUUGCUGGGCUUGGUCUGACGCUGAGGCGCGAAAGCGUGGGGAGCGAACAGG
rnacentral:rRNA from 1 species